rnacentral:rRNA from 1 species
ACGGUACCUAACCAGAAAGCCACGGCUAACUACGUGCCAGCAGCCGCGGUAAUACGUAGGUGGCAAGCGUUGUCCGGAAUUAUUGGGCGUAAAGGGCUCGCAGGCGGUUUCUUAAGUCUGAUGUGAAAGCCCCCGGCUCAACCGGGGAGGGUCAUUGGAAACUGGGGAACUUGAGUGCAGAAGAGGAGAGUGGAAUUCCACGUGUAGCGGUGAAAUGCGUAGGGAUGUGGAGGAACACCAGUGGCGAAGGCGACUCUCUGGUCUGUAACUGACGCUGAGGAGCGAAAGCGUGGGGAGCGAACAGGAUUAGAUACCCUGGUAGUCCACGCCGUAAACGAUGAGUGCUAAGUGUUAGGGGGUUUCCGCCCCUUAGUGCUGCAGCUAACGCAUUAAGCACUCCGCCUGGGGAGUACGGUCGCAAGACUGAAACUCAAAGGAAUUGACGGGGGCCCGCACAAGCGGUGGAGCAUGUGGUUUAAUUCGAAGCAACGCGAAGAACCUUACCAGGUCUUGACAUCCUCUGACAAUCCUAGAGAUAGGACGUCCCCUUCGGG